GACGAACGCUGGCGGCGUGCCUAAUACAUGCAAGUAGAACGCUGAAGGAGGAGCUUGCUUCUCCGGAUGAGUUGCGAACGGGUGAGUAACGCGUAGGUAACCUGCCUGGUAGCGGGGGAUAACUAUUGGAAACGAUAGCUAAUACCGCAUAACAGUAGAUAUUGCAUGAUAUUUGCUUGAAAGGUGCAAUUGCAUCACUACCAGAUGGACCUGCGUUGUAUUAGCUAGUUGGUGAGGUAACGGCUCACCGAGGCGACGAUACAUAGCCGCCCUGGGAGGGUGAUCGGCCACACUGGGACUGGAACACGGCCCAGACUCCUACGGGAGGCAGCAGUAGGGAAUCUUCGGCAAUGGACGGAAGUCUGACCGAGCAACGCCGCGUGAGGGAAGAAGGUUUUCGGAUCGUAAAGCUCUGUUGUAAGAGAAGAACGAGUGUGAGAGUGGAAAGUUCACACUGUGACGGUAUCUUACCAGAAAGGGACGGCUAACUACGUG
rnacentral:rRNA from 1 species